GGCGCCCCCCAAAAAUGGUGUCUUUGCCUGUGUCUUUCUUUACCCCUCCCCCUUAGUGCAUUAGCGAUAAUUGCAGAGCUUGAGCCAAUUUCACCAAGAAAGGAAGGGACACUGUUGACACUGACAGUCUCCUAGGGGUUGAGCAGAGCAGCAGUAAAAGAAGACUUACUGUCAGAUAUUUUGGGGGGGGGAGCCUGGCACCUACUGGGGUUAAGGAAUUCC